rnacentral:rRNA from 1 species
UAAUUUGAUACGCUUGCGGCUUGCCUAAAAAUGCAAGUCGAACGAUUAAGCACGUGGUGCGGCAGACGGGUGAGUAGCGCCACGGGUGAUUCCCUUUAAAUAAUCUACCCUCGGGUGGGGAAUAACGUUCGGAAACGGACGCUUAUACCGAUAACGCAUCGGCACCGGAUGGUGACAGUUGUUAAAGGAGCAAUCCGCUUGAGGAGGAGCUUGCGGCAGAUUAACUAGUUGGUAGGGUAAUGGCUUACCAAGGCUACUAUCUGUAUCCGGUCUAACAGGACGGUCGGACACACUGACACUGAAUAACGGGUCACACUCCUACCGGAGGCGACCCUCGGGAAUUUUGGGCAAUGGGCGAAAGCCUGACCCAGCAACGCCGCGUGAAGGAUGAAGUAUUUCGGUAUGUAAACUUCGAAAGAAUAGGAAGAAUAAUUGACGGUACUAUUUAUAAGCUCCGGCUAACUACGUGCCUCCAACCUCGGGAAUACAUAGGGAGCAUGCGUUGUUCGGAUUUACUGGGCGUAAAGGGCGCGUAUGCGGCGCGGUAAGUCACUUGUGAAAUCUCUGAGCUUAACUCAAAAGGCCAAGUGAUACUGCAGUGCUAGAGUGCAAUUCGGGCAAUCGGAAUUCUUGGUGUAUCGGUGAAAUGCGUAGAUGUCAUGAGGAACACCUGAAGCGAAGGCAGCGUGCUAAGCUGACACUGACGCUGACGCGCGAAAGCCACGCGAGCAAACAGGAUUAGAUACCCUCGGUAGUCCUGGCCCUACGCGAUGAAUACUUGGUGUCUGGAGUUUCAAUACUCCGGGUGCCGU